AGAGUUUGAUCCUGGCUCAGAGCGAACGCUGGCGGCGUGCUUAACACAUGCAAGUCAUGCGAGAAAGGGGGCUUCGGCCCCUGAGUAGAGCGGCGCACGGGUGCGUAAGACGCGGGUGACCUAUCCCCGAGGCGGGGAUAACCCUUCGAAAGAGGGGCUAAUACCGGAUGGGCCCACGAGCAGAGAUGCUUGGGGGCAAAGGGUGCUACUCAAUGGUGGCAUCCCCUCAAGGCGGGGCCCGCGGCCUAUCAGCUCGUUGGUAAGGUAAUGGCUUACCAAGGCGAAGACGGGUAGCUGGUCUGAGAGGAUGGCCAGCCACACGGGGACUGAGACACGGCCCCGACUCCUACGGGAGGCAGCAGUGGGGAAUAUUGGGCAAUGGGCGCAAGCCUGACCCAGCGACGCCGCGUGGGUGAUGAAGGCCUUCGGGUCGUAAAGCCCUGUCGGGUGGAAAGAACGAGGGGGGCGCAAAUAGCGCUUCUCUGUGACGUACCACCGAAGAAGGCCCGGA
rnacentral:rRNA from 1 species